rnacentral:rRNA from 1 species
GAUGAACGCUAGCUACAGGCUUAACACAUGCAAGUCGAGGGGCAGCAUGAACUUAGCUUGCUAAGUUUGAUGGCGACCGGCGCACGGGUGAGUAACACGUAUCCAACCUGCCGAUGACUCGGGGAUAGCCUUUCGAAAGAAAGAUUAAUACCCGAUGGCAUAGUUCUUCCGCAUGGUAGAACUAUUAAAGAAUUUCGGUCAUCGAUGGGGAUGCGUUCCAUUAGGUUGUUGGCGGGGUAACGGCCCACCAAGCCUUCGAUGGAUAGGGGUUCUGAGAGGAAGGUCCCCCACAUUGGAACUGAGACACGGUCCAAACUCGUACGGGAGGCAGCAGUGAGGAAUAUUGGUCAAGGGACGAGAGUCUGAACCAGCCAAGUAGCGUGAAGGAGGACUGCCCUAUGGGUUGUAAACUUCUUUUAUACGGGAAUAAAGUGAGGCACGGGUGCCUUUUUGUAUGUACCGUAUGAAUAAGGAUCGGCUAACUCCGUG